rnacentral:rRNA from 1 species
UACAGGGGGUGCAAACGUUGCUCGGAAUCAUUGGGCGUAAAGAGCGUGUAGGCGGCCAGGUAGGUCGGUUGUGAAAACUGGAGGCUCAACCUUCAGACGUCGACCGAAACCAUCUGGCUAGAGUCCGGGAGAGGAGAGUGGAAUUCCUGGUGUAGCGGUGAAAUGCGCAGAUAUCAGGAGGAACACCAAUGGCGAAGGCAGCACUCUGGGCCGGUACUGACGCUGAGGAGCGAAAGCGUGGGGAGCAAACAGG